UACGGAGGGUGCGAGCGUUGUCCGGAAUCACUGGGCGUAAAGGGCGCGUAGGCGGCAUGCCAAGCGUGUGGUGAAAGCCCGGGGCUCAACCCCGGGUCGGCCGUGCGGACUGGCGUGCUCGAGCACUGUAGGGGCGGGUGGAAUUCCGGGUGUAGCGGUGGAAUGCGUAGAGAUCCGGAAGAACACCGGUGGCGAAGGCGGCCCGCUGGGCAGGAAGGCUCGCAAGAGCCGGCUGACGCUGAGGCGCGACAGCGUGGGGGGCAAACAGG
rnacentral:rRNA from 1 species